rnacentral:rRNA from 1 species
GGUCUGAGAGGAUGAUCCGCCACACUGGGACUGAGACACGGCCCAGACUCCUACGGGAGGCAGCAGUGGGGAAUAUUGGACAAUGGGGGGAACCCUGAUCCAGCCAUGCCGCGUGUGUGAAGAAGGCCUUAUGGUUGUAAAGCACUUUAAGCGAGGAGGAGGCUACUGAGACUAAUACUCUUGGAUAGUGGACGUUACUCGCAGAAUAAGCACCGGCUAACUCUGUGCCAGCAGCCGCGGUAAUACAGAGGGUGCGAGCGUUAAUCGGAUUUACUGGGCGUAAAGCGUGCGUAGGCGGCUUUUUAAGUCGGAUGUGAAAUCCCCGAGCUUAACUUGGGAAUUGCAUUCGAUACUGGGAAGCUAGAGUAUGGGAGAGGAUGGUAGAAUUCCAGGUGUAGCGGUGAAAUGCGUAGAGAUCUGGAGGAAUACCGAUGGCGAAGGCAGCCAUCUGGCCUAAUACUGACGCUGAGGUACGAAAGCAUGGGGAGCAAACA